GACGAACGCUGGCGGCGUGCUUAACACAUGCAAGUCGAACGGAAAGGCCCUGCUUUUGUGGGGUGCUCGAGAGGCGAACGGGUGAGUAAAACGUGAGUAACCUGCCCUUGACUUUGGGAUAACUUCAGGGAACUGGGGCUAAUACCGGAUAGGAGAUCCUGCUGCGUGGGGGGGGAUGGUAAGUUUCGGCGGUUGUGGCUGGUAUCGCGGCUUAUGCGCUUGUUGGUGGGGUAGUGGCUUACCAAGGCUUUGACGGGUAGCCGGCCUGAGAGGUUGACCGGCCACAUGGGGCCUGAGAGACGGCCCAGACGCCUACGGGCGGCAGCAGUGGGGAAUAUUGCACAAUGGGCGGAAGCGUGAUGCAGCAACGCCGCGUUCGUGAUGACGGCUUUCGGGGUGUAAACCGCUUUCGCCUGUGACGAAGCGUGAUUGACGGUAAUGGGUAAAGAAGCACCGGCUAACUACGUG
rnacentral:rRNA from 1 species